ensembl:lncRNA
GCAUUUUUAAAAAAAUAAUUUUUAAAAGUACAUUUAAGUGACCCCAAACUUUUGAACGGUAAUAUAUAUAUAUAUAUAAUCCCAUUUAUAUAUAUUUACUGACGCGUCAGAAAUAAAUGUUUCUGAAACAGGAAAAAAAAGGCAAUGUCUAAUACAGCAAACUUUUAUUAAAUGAAAAUUCAAACAUCUAAGUGGAAUAACAUUAUCUGGAAUAACAUUAUCUGGAAUAACAUUAUCUGGAAUAACAUUAUCUGGAAUAACAUUAUCUGGAAUAACAUUAUCUGGAAUAACAUUAUCUGGAAUAACAUUAACUACCUGUGCAGGAUUAACAUCUUUCAGAGGAGAUAGUUUGUAUCCCAAAUGACACCCUAAUCCCUAUAUAGUGCACUACUUUUGACCAGGGCCCUAUGGGGGGGUAGUGCACUACUUUUGACCAGGGCCCUAUGGGGGGGGUAUGCACUACUUUUGACCAGGGCCCUAUGGGGGGGUAGUGCACUACUUUUGACCAGGGCCCUAUGGGGGGGUAGUGCACUACUUUUGACCAGGGCCCUAUGGGGGGGUAGUGCACUAUAUAUGGGAUACAGCCUGAGUCCAGAAAGCAACAAUAACAUGGAGAAAGACACAUUUUUUUUUCUUUUUUAAAAGACGAGUCCAACGACAGCUAUAUAAUCCCACAAACCAGACGAUUAAAAUACCAAAUCAGAAAAAAACAAAAAUAUAAACAAUCCCCCCCAAAAAAAAAGCCAUAUCAGCCAAUCAAAUCUCACAAAUCUGUAUAAGGGGGGUUCCUCAUCCCACUAGAGUAGCCUGCCUCUCUGCCAUUGGAUUGCUGUUGAUUGUAGUGGUAGCUCCUCCCCCGACCCCUCACAUUUUGUCCUUUAGAGGUGGCAUCGCCCCCUCUUCCUUCCUGCUUCCUGUCCCCUCGGUCUUGUUCCCGGAAACCUUCCCUGUUAUCUCUCCUCCCCACUCCUCGGUAACCUCCUACCCCCCGUCUCUCACCCCUCCAACGGUUCUCUCUAUACCCUCUGGCUCCUCCUCCCUCCUCGUGUCCUCCCCUCCCUCCUCCACCUCUGAAGGAGCGACUGUAGAACUUCUUUCCGUUUCUGAGGGUGUGGUCAUUAGGGUCUAGCCACUCCCCUCCCUCCCAGUCUCGGUCCAAUGAUGUUACGCCGCUUGGGGCCUGGGGCACUAAAUAUGAAGUCUCGCCCCAGCUCCCCCCCGUCGUGUCAUUGGUCGUUUUCACGUUAAACUCCGCCCCGCUCUGGGUCAUGGGGGCGUCGCCCGCACCCUGCAUCGCCAUGCCGACGGAUACAUCCUUGAACAUGGUCUGGGCACUUACUGUUGUUAUCAGGUGACCCUCGGGGACCCAUGUGACCUGAGAGAGGUAAGAGAGAUAGAGGGAUUAGUAACAGUACAAAAUCAGAAACACUACACACAGAUGAAAUCAACAACAACAAAAUCCCAUGACUAAAAUUUAAGUCGAUCAAAAUACACAUUUGGGUCGAGUGUCACUGACAUCCACCUUCAGGGGUUAGAAGAUUGGUCGAAUCAUUUCAAAAGUUGCAUAAACACACAGGCUAACAAAAUAAAAUCAUGGACGUUUACCAAAAAGUGUAUUUUGAACACAGCAGAGUUUCAGAAUAGGUGAUUAGAGAGACUACCAUAAAUCAUGGAGAACAAGAUCCUGCACCCUCAACAUAGUAAGGGAAACAGCCAACUUGUACCGCCAUUCAUUGGAAAGGAAGUGGAUUCAUGUCUGUUUGAGCAGGAUUCCCUAAAAUGGCCGCCAGACAUUUGGUCACUGCUCUUCCAAAGUGUUCUGGUGAGAAACGCUCAGAAAAUGUACCGUCGCUUUCCCUCUCGACCAGAGUCCAGAUUAUGACACUGUUAAAAGAUGUUAUCCUUCAGGCUUUACGAGUUGGUCCCACAGACAAACGGUUACGUAAAUUACGAAAGACCGAUCACAACGCCAUGUUGAGUUGGAAAGGGAACAAAAGCAUGUCUUUUGGGUCGGUGGGGUGGUUCUCAAGGACCUCGACUUAAAAAGACGCAUAUACUUCAAGCAAUUCAAGAAUUGCUUUCACGAAAGGUUUGCUUCCUAGUUUUAUGAGCACAAGGAUCUCACUCUUUGAGAAAGCUGCAGUUCUUGCAGAUGAGUUUUGUCACAACGCCAUGUUGAGUUGAAAAGGGAACAAAAGUAUGUAUUUUGGGUCGGUUCUCUGAGUUUUGUCUUUCAAAACAAAAAACACCCAUUAGUUAUCCCUACGUUUACAAAAAAUUAAACCCAGAGAAGUCAACGCCUACUGGAAGAUUUCAGUCCUUUACUGCCCAAAGAUAAAGAUGAACAGAAAACGUUUUUUUUUUCUUUUCAUAUCUGCCCAUUUGUCAUUACUUCAGUGAGAAAGGACAUUGUAUCUCUAAGUUGAAAGAGAAUUUGAGAGGAAAAAAAUUAAUAAAUUGUUCUCCAACCCAUUAAGUCUCUGGUUUAUCUCCUAAACAAGAUUUUGAAUCAGAUGGGUAUGAACCUUUUCAUUUCAGACGGGUUCGUGUCUCUGCAGAGAGUGGCGAUGACAUUAAGCAAGCCAGAGAAGAUACUGCGAGACAUUGAGGCCCCGGUCCUUCAUUUUGAGGGGUGUUUUGCCUUUGUCUGACACUACAGCAACUGGUUACAGUGUAUUAGUACAAAGUCAUGGAGGUGGGUUGCAUGGAGGUUCCUUUGUAUAAUGUGGAACUCGAGUCCAAUCUUAUUUCUGGUUCCGUUUGCGCCAAGCACGUUUGCAGCCUAUUCUCCUGCUUUUGACGAGGUUCUCGUGGAUUGCGUUGCUCCUUUCACCCAAAGCAAAUAAUCAGUGUCUCUUGACCAUGGUUGUAGGUAGAAGUAAAAAGGAGUGGAAAGCAUGUUUAUAUAAGAAAAGGCAACGCAUUUAAGUUGAUGUUGUGUAACAAAAGUUGUUUUCUGGUGGGGGUGAGCAAACUUGUCCAACAAAAAUAUAGGAUAUAUUUGUUGUCUUAAGGGGGAAGGUGUUCCAGGCUUUGUUUUUUUUUCCCAUUUAUAUUUAGAGGGGAAGGUGUAUAUAUUUAUAUUUAGAGGGGAAGGUGUAUAUAUUUACAUUUAUAUUUAGAGGUUGCACUUGGGACGCACUGAUUGGUGUCACACCUGUGCUGGUUGCCAUCUCGUUAGUGGUCAGGUUUUUCACCUGGCUGGCCCAGGUGACAUUUAGCCCAGGUGACAUUUAGAGGCUGGCCCAGGUGACAUUUAGAAGCUGGCCCAGGUGACAAUUAGAAGCUGGCCCAGGUGACAAUUAGAAGCUGGCCCAGGUGACAUGUAGAGGAUGGCCCAGGUGACAUGUAGAGGAUGGCCCAGGUGACAUUUAGAGGAUGGCCCAGGUGACAUUUAGAGGCUGGCCACUCAUGUUGGGAGUCUUUUAGGGCCCAGUUGUUGUUACUAGUCAUCUUCCAGUGGACCCCCCAUGAGUGUCUUUCAGAACCCCUCCUAAAAUCCCACUUUUGUUUGAGCGACAUUUUUGGUUUUCUAGCUGGGGAACGUAACACUCCAGUAAUGAGCCGAAUAACAUUUUUUAUAAAAUGUUAAAAUGAUUAACACAGUGGACCAUACAGCCCAUCUAUAGUGUAACAUAGUGGACCAUACAGCCCAUCUAUAGUGUAACACAGUGGACCAAACAGCCCAUCUAUAGUGUAACAUAGUGGACCAUACAGCCCAUCUAUAGUGUAACACAGUGGACCAUACAGCCCAUCUAUAGUGUAACACAGUGGACCAUACAGCCCAUCUAUAGUGUAACACAGUGGACCAAACAGCCCAUCUAUAGUGUAUUAUUGUA